GAACGGUCCAAGGAGUACCUGAAAAGGAGAAGGAUGAAAAGAAAGGAGGGAAAGGAGGUGCAGGUGGGGAAAAGAAGGAGGAGUUAGAAGAGGAGAAGGAGCAGGAGAAAAAAGAAGGGGAGGAGAGAGAGAAGUAGGUGGAGGAUAAGAAAGAAGAGGAAGAGAAGGAGAAAAGGAAGAGAUGAUCAUCUGUAAUUUCUCCUGUGUUUAUGUGAUGUACUUGCGCCCUCUGCAGGGUUGAGGCACGUGUCCUUCAGGAAGCGUCUACGGCGUGACCUCUGACCUCACAGUGUUGUUGUCGCCGUCCGGGUCCCUGGCGGCGAUCAUCCUGACCAGCGUGCCCACGUCGGCGUCCUCGGCCACUUCCAAGAGAUGGGUGGGUUGUCGUUGACGUCGCCGAGCGAGAUGUCCACACGUGUGGUUCCGGCGAGCCCGCCCAGCUGGCCGCCCAUGUCCUUGGCCUGAAUGACCACCGUGUAGUUCUCCCUGGUCUCCCGAUCCAUGUCAGUCAGCGAGACCCGCACCACGCCUGAGGAGACACGCGGGAGGUUACGCCCAACCCCGAAAUCUACAUCGUUCCACUCGGCGUGGAGACGAACGGACAGUCCAGAGAUGGGAUCAAGUCAGACGUUCACAUCUCAGGUUUUCCCGGACACACCCGCCUUCUGAGCGCUAAAAGUUUGAAAAUCAUCUCAAAAGUCCUCAUUCCACCUGGUAAGUGGCUCUCUUCAUGUGGUCUUGAGAAGAUGGAGGCCCUCAAGAAAGUUGGGCGACGGCUAACGAGGUGAGGUCGUAACGAGGUGAGGUCACGGCCGCGCUGGAGAGGAAAUCAUUAGCGUCGGGAGCGUCGCCAGGCAUCUCCACAAAGUGUUUGUCAAGAUGGAAAAGGAGAAAAGAUGGGAAAAGGAGAUUUAACUUUACAUUCCGGUCUAUAGGCGACAAGAGAAUGUAUCGCUUUGCCGUCUUUGCCGUCUUUUUAGCAGCUUUGUGGUAUAUCACGACCCUCCAAUGCUGUUGGUUCUUUACUUCUGACUUCUUUCUUACUUCUAUGAGGUGGGGUAAUGUGUCACAAUUCCUUUUUACUUGAUUGAAUUUAAAUGUAAGACAUUUUAUUUAAUUAAAAAUAAAGAAUUUAAAACGUUAGGAAAUUGCUUCAUAUG